UUCCGGGAGACCCGAGCCCUGAAGGUUGUUCAGUUUCGGCGGUUGGCUGCUGAGGGUUAAGGAGUUUCUCUUGGUUUACCAGAAACGUCAUUAGCGCUUCAUAAGUUACUCAGCAGCUCUGCGUCUCAGUCUCCCCAUCUGAAAAAAGAGCACAGGCUCCAGACGCGCAGGCUCAGUAAUUGUGGCUCAUGGGCCCAGUUGCUCCGCGGCAUGUGGGAUCUUCCCAGACCAGGGCUCGAACCCGUGUCCCCUGCAUUGGAAGGCAGAUUCUCAACCACUGUGCCACCAGGGAAGCCCCCGCAAGCGCUGUUGCAUGGUCACAUGUCUAACGAGUCUCCAGCAGCUAACACUAAGUAAGAAACUGUUCAGAUGGGAACGAGCUGGCUUUCAGGAGACUCUGAAGCCGGCAGCGUGGCAGGCAGCAAGGAGCACACACCCACCAGUGGCUGGUCAACCUGACAACUCUGGCAACACAAACAUAACAAGACAAGAUAGACAAAGUGGAGGCCCAGUCCAGAUGCUGAAUGUCAGACACCUUUUAUGUGUGGGGCAGGGCGAGGGAGUACAGUAGAAGAAAUACAAACAUUCAACAGACGAGCAAAUUAAACUGGCAGAAUGAAACAGGAAACCACAAUAAAUGCUUAGCAGCCAAACACAUUUAUUAGUCUUUUUUCUUUUUUUUUUUUUUCCAGGAAC